CAGAGCGGCCCGGGCAGGCUCUAGGCUCCUAUUGGCUGAAAGAGUCAAACGACCCUCUCAGGAGCCAUUGGGGUUUGAGCUGGAGAGGCUAAGGCUUUCUGGACAGGAGUUUUUCCCACUGGCCCUUAGAGGGCCUCGCAGAAAUGUUUUGAGAAGAGACCGCCUUUGAGGGAGAGGCCUUAUCGCUGAGCCUGAGGUGGAGGUCAGAAAGGAGGGACAAGGCUGAGCUAUCAGAAAUUUCUAACACCAUAGCUAAUAAUGAUGGAGAUAACUGUCAUCCUUGCUUUGCUGCAAUCUGAGCUACCUUUUAGAAGAAGGAAUACUUCAAAGAGUUCCCUGUGUCAGAUGCUGAGCAAGAUACUGCAACAUUCUGAUGCCCAUCAUGAAGCACUCCUUUAAGGGAAUCUCCUGAAAGGUAGAAGAAAAAGAGGA